AACGAACGCUGGCGGCAGGCUUAACACAUGCAAGUCGAACGCCCCGCAAGGGGAGUGGCAGACGGGUGAGUAACGCGUGGGAAUCUACCCAGUUCUACGGAACAACUGAGGGAAACUUCAGCUAAUACCGUAUACGCCCUACGGGGGAAAGAUUUAUCGGAAUUGGAUGAGCCCGCGUUGGAUUAGCUAGUUGGUGAGGUAACGGCUCACCAAGGCGACGAUCCAUAGCUGGUCUGAGAGGAUGAUCAGCCACACUGGGACUGAGACACGGCCCAGACUCCUACGGGAGGCAGCAGUGGGGAAUAUUGGACAAUGGGCGCAAGCCUGAUCCAGCCAUGCCGCGUGAGUGAUGAAGGCCUUAGGGUUGUAAAGCUCUUUCAGUGGGGACGAUAAUGACGGUACCCACAGAAGAAGCCCCGGCUAACUUCGUGCCAGCCGCCGCGGUAA
rnacentral:rRNA from 1 species